GAUGAACGCUGGCGGCGUGCUUAACACAUGCAAGUCGAACGGAAAGGCUCCUGCUUGCAGGGGUACUCGAGUGGCGAACGGGUGAGUAACACGUGGGUGAUCUGCCCAGCACUUCGGGAUAAGCCUGGGAAACUGGGUCUAAUACCGGAUAGGACGAUGGUUUGGAUGCCAUUGUGGAAAGUUUUUUCGGUGUGGGAUGAGCUCGCGGCCUAUCAGCUUGUUGGUGGGGUAAUGGCCUACCAAGGCGUCGACGGGUAGCCGGCCUGAGAGGGUGUACGGCCACAUUGGGACUGAGAGACGGCCCAGACUCCUACGGGAGGCAGCAGUGGGGAAUAUUGCACAAUGGGCGCAAGCCUGAUGCAGCGACGCCGCGUGGGGGAUGACGGCCUUCGGGUUGUAAACUCCUUUCGCUAGGGACGAAGCGCAAGUGACGGUACCUGGAGAAGAAGCACCGGCUAACUACGUG
rnacentral:rRNA from 1 species